GGAUUUGUAGCUUAAUAGUAAAGCACUAUCUUGUCACGAUAGUAGAUGUCAGUGCGAUUCUGAUCAAAUUCG
rfam:Ashbya gossypii (= Eremothecium gossypii) ATCC 10895 mitochondrion, complete genome.